GUUGUUAUCCCCUUCCCCUGUCACUUUGACUCACUGGUGCCUCUCUGCCCUUUGCUGCUUCUGUGACCUUUCAACACCCCACCCCCACCCCCAGGACAAACUGGUAAUGCCUUGGGAGCCCACAUGUCCUGUCCCUGGUCGUUUACAGCCUGAGGCGCACUGGCUUAGGUUAGAGCUACUUUAAGCCAGGGGACCCAAUUGGCCUCCAGGCUAGUUUUGGUUUUAGGGAAUUUGCACGAGGGACACCUCUGUAUGGCCUGCACACUCUCAGCUGGACGACAGGCCUUUCUCUGCUGGCCUGGGGCACACAUUUUUUUCAGUUGCCUCACCCUGUAGGCACUUAAGUUUGCAAUUCUUGCUCCAAAGCCAUUUCCAACAUAUUCCUAAUUGGUCAUCUCACAAUUUUGAUACCCAAGAGACCAGAAAGAAUAUAAAUGCUAGUAAAGCUGCCUAGGUUCAAAUCCCAGCUCUGCCAUAUGCUCUCCGUGUGAAUUUGGGAGAGUUAUCUUCCCACCUUUGAAAAAUGGAGAUGACAAGAAUAGUAUCUACCUUCCACGGGUUCUGGUGGGAACUGAACGAGUUCAUAUGCAGAAAGUGCUUAAAAAUAGGGUCUGGCACAACCAGGAAAGCUGUCAGUGUUCUCAGGAUUCCACUUUCCAGCUGCCAUCUGUACCUAAGUGGGUUGGCUUCACAGUUUUCGCAGGACUCUGGACAAAGGAACAAUGUCUUCAGCAAAUUCUUCCUAUACUUGGUGGGAAGGGAGGGCACCAGCCGAGUUGAGUUUCUGGAAGCCUGUGACUCGGUGCCUGACAUCCUCAGCAGCCCCUUUGGCCUCAGAGGAAGGACAGAGUCUGAGAGGAACAAGCCUCCAAAAGAACCGCCUUUAGAAACCCAGGAGUUUAAGGCUGUGGUUUCCUUGCCCAGGCAUCAGGGCCUGGGGAGCUGCCAGGGCCCUUUCAACUCUCCCGCCCUGCCGAGCCCGGAUGGGAUUGUGUAAGAGCCGCCCUCCACACGCCUGCUCUCUCGUGCAGCACGCCUGGGCCUGCCCGUCCUCCCGGGGAGCCGGGCCAGAAGGCCCUGGUACCCACACAGAGGAGCCACCCUCAGUCUCGAUUAGAGGGGAGAAGAUAUGAGGGAUGGAGGACACACCACCAGCUCCCCUUCUCACAGCCAAGGGGAGUGCAGGCAAGGUGAUUGAUUGGAUGGUUCCGGGGCUCAGAACACUCAGUGGUGCAACCAGGAAACGCCUGGACACGCUGGAUGGCUGGUUACCCUGGUCUGGUCCUUACUCGUGUGCUGGUAACUAUGGCAUUCCUGCAGAAAUCUGAGACACUGUCAGGAAGAAGGGACCUGCAGCGCUCAGUCCAAGAACAGCUUCCAGCUCUGAUGCUGCCUCUCUGCGAUGGAGAAGCCAGGGUGGCUCCGGGAGCAUUUGGUUUGCAUGUGACAGAGCAGAAGAAUGAAGAAGCUUAGCAGAGAUCACAGAGCCAGUGGGUGACACCGGGAUCGGGCCUCCCGCACCCUCCUGGGAGGGCUCGCAGCUGUGCCGUGCAGCGCAUAGGAAUCCGUUGGUUUCCAGAUCCAGGUGGGAACGAGGGGAGGAGAUUUCAGCCUCCUUUAAAGCAAUGUUCUCUCCUCCAAGAGGUUUUUCUGAGGGUUUCACAGGGGAGAAAAAGUGAGGCUCGGACAAUUCUACAGGAAGUCUCAAAACAGGAUGAAAGGUUACUCCAGAGAGCAAACCUCCCCAGGGAAGGGAAAGAGGAGCACCCUUUCUAAGGAAGUGCAAGCUCCAUGGGCAUUUAGAGCCUGAGAGGAAAGUCACAGCUCACCCACCUGAACCAAGAGCCCUAGGCCUCCUCAGCUGCAGUGCGUUCUUAACUUACAGUGUUGUGGCCAAGCCUAGAAUUGUGACUGUGUACUGGCUCUUGGCAGCUUUCUCCAGGACAGGCCAGUCUCUCUUGCCACUUAGGUGCUUCAAGAGUGUUACUUUGAAAGCGUGGGCUAGACACCUCCCCAUCCACCUGGCUGCUGGCAAGGCCUCGGUUUUCCCAAUCGCUAAGUGGAGGGAAGAACAUAGCCCAGGUUCCAGGGAGGGAACAGCACGGCUGUCAGUACCCCUCCAUCCUGAGUCGUUCACGGGGCCACAUCAACGUCCUUGGCCAAGACAGUGUUGAGA
ensembl:lncRNA